GAUGAACGCUGGCGGCGUGCCUAAUACAUGCAAGUCGAGCGAAGCGGGGACGGGUGAGUAACACGUGGAUAACCUCCUAUAAGACUGGGAUAACUUCGGGAAACCGGGGCUAAACCGGAUACUUCUAAAUGGAUCCGCGUUGCAUUAGCUAGUUGGUAAGGUAACGGCUGACCAAGGCAACGAUGCCUAGCCGACCUGAGAGGGUGAUCGGCCACACUGGAACUGAGACACGGUCCAGACUCCUACGGGAGGCAGCAGUAGGGAAUCUUCCGCAAUGGGCGAAAGCCUGACGGAGCCACGCCGCGUGAGUGAUGAAGGUCUUCGGGUCGUAAAGCUCUGUUAUUAGGGAAGCGGUACCUACUCAAAAAGCACCGGCUAACUACGUGCCAGCAGCCGCGGUAAUAC
rnacentral:rRNA from 1 species